UACGUAAGGGGCAAGCGUUAUCCGGAUUUACUGGGUGUAAAGGGAGCGUAGACGGUUUGGCAAGUCUGAUGUGAAAGGCAUGGGCUCAACCUGUGGACUGCAUUGGAAACUGUCAGACUUGAGUGCCGGAGAGGCAAGCGGAAUUCCUAGUGUAGCGGUGAAAUGCGUAGAUAUUAGGAGGAACACCAGUGGCGAAGGCGGCCUGCUGGACGGUAACUGACGUUGAGGCUCGAAAGCGUGGGGAGCAAACAGG
rnacentral:rRNA from 2 species